UACGAAGGGGGCUAGCGUUGUUCGGAAUUACUGGGCGUAAAGCGUGCGCAGGCGGCUAUCCAAGUCAGUGGUGAAAGCCCGGAGCUCAACUCCGGAAUUGCCAUUGAAACUGUUUAGCUUGAGGACGAGAGAGGUGAGUGGAAUUCCCAGUGUAGAGGUGAAAUUCGUAGAUAUUGGGAAGAACACCGGUGGCGAAGGCGGUUCUCUGGGCCUUACCUGACGCUGAGGAGCGAAAGCGUGGGGAGCGAACAGG
rnacentral:rRNA from 1 species